rnacentral:rRNA from 1 species
GAUCAUGGCUCAGGAUGAACGCUAGCUACAGGCUUAACACAUGCAAGUCGAGGGGCAGCGAAGAGGUAGCAAUACCUUUGCCGGCGACCGGCGCACGGGUGAGUAACACGUAUGCAAUCCACCUGUAACAGGGGGAUAACCCGGAGAAAUCCGGACUAAUACCCCAUAAUAUGGGCGCUCCGCAUGGAGAGCCCAUUAAAGAGAGCAAUUUUGGUUACAGACGAGCAUACGCUCCA